UACGUAGGGUGCGAGCGUUGUCCGGAAUUAUUGGGCGUAAAGGGCUCGUAGGCGGUUUGUCGCGUCGGGAGUGAAAACCCAGGGCUUAACUCUGGGCUUGCUUUCGAUACGGGCAGACUAGAGGCAUGCAGGGGAGAACGGAAUUCCUGGUGUAGCGGUGAAAUGCGCAGAUAUCAGGAGGAACACCGGUGGCGAAGGCGGUUCUCUGGGCAUGUCCUGACGCUGAGGAGCGAAAGUGUGGGG
rnacentral:rRNA from 1 species